rnacentral:rRNA from 1 species
UACGAAGGGGGCUAGCGUUGCUCGGAAUCACUGGGCGUAAAGCGCACGUAGGCGGCUUACUAAGUCAGGGGUGAAAUCCUGGAGCUCAACUCCAGAACUGCCUUUGAUACUGAGGAUCUUGAGUCCGGGAGAGGUGAGUGGAACUGCGAGUGUAGAGGUGAAAUUCGUAGAUAUUAGGAAGAACACCAGUGGCGAAGGCGGCUCACUGGCCCGGUACUGACGCUGAGGCGCGAAAGCGUGGGGAGCAAACAGG